ACGGCGUUUAGGUGCGGAUCA
rnacentral:siRNA from 1 species